rnacentral:tRNA from 1 species
CCCUGGCUGGCUCAGUUGGUGGAGCAUGUGACUUUUGAUCUUGGGGUUGUGGGUUCAAGCCCCAUGCUGGGCC